CAGUCGCCGCGGUAAAACGGAGGGGGCUAGCGUUGUUCGGAAUUACUGGGCGUAAAGCGCACGUAGGCGGCUUGGUAAGUUAGAGGUGAAAGCCCGGAGCUCAACUCCGGAAUUGCCUUUAAGACUGCCGAGCUAGUAGGUGAGAGAGGUAAGUGGAAUUCCGAGUGUAGAGGUGAAAUUCGUAGAUAUUCGGAAGAACACCAGUGGCGGAGGCGGCUUACUGGCUCAUUCUAGACGCUGAGGUGCGAAAGCGUGGGGAGCAAACAGGAUUAGAUACCCGCGUAGUCCCUGUCUCUUAUAC
rnacentral:rRNA from 1 species